GGAUGCGAGGGUGACCUGGCCGCGACAUCUGUCACCCCGCUGAUCGCCAGGGUUUGUUUGGCUGAUCUGGCCGGCUGGGUGGUGUCCCCUUCCUCCCUCACUGCUCCGUGUGCUUGGUCGAAGGGGACCAUCCUCCCCGCUGGGGGAGGACUGGUCUUGGGUCCAGGGUCUAAGAGUAGCUGCACCCUCCUCUAGAACCUCCUACCAGGCUCUCAAGAAACACUGCAGGGAGGAGUGUGUGAAUGAGUGUGCACC
rnacentral:snRNA from 1 species